AUGGAUUCCAGGCUCCUCUGCUAUGUGGCCCUCUGCCUCCUGGGGGCAGGUACCUCAGGUGUUGGAGUCUCCCAGGCCCCCAGGCACAGGGUCUCACAGAGGGGCCAGGUUGUUGUCCUCAAGUGUGAUCCAAUUUGGGGACACAACCGCCUUUACUGGUACCGGAAGACCCUGGGGCAGGGCCUCGAGUUUUUGAUAUUCUUUCAAAACAAGGACACACCAGACACAUCUGGGAUGCCUGAUGCUCGUUUCUCUGCGGAGAGGGCUGACGGGUCGUCCUCCACCCUGAAGAUACAGCCUGUGGAGCCUGAGGACUCGGCUGUGUACCUAUGUGCCAGCAGCUUAGCCACAGAGAAGGGUGCACCGCUGGAGACAGCAGGCAUCAAAUGGGCCUCCUGUGGCUGCACCGCUGGCCGCCUGGGGGCGCUGUGGCUCCUGUGUGAGAGGCUGACAGCCCUGCAAGAGAAGCUGGGAGGGAGCGCCAGAGCCUGCAUUUGGUGGAACAAGAGGAACCUUCCAGGGACCGCCCCGGAGGAGCUGGACAGAGGAGAGGACCCGGAGCCAGUGAGUCUGUGCUGUCGUGGGGAUAGAGCUGUGCUUGGGACCCCCGAGAGGACAGUGACGUCAGAAGGCAGGACCACAGACUAG